rnacentral:rRNA from 1 species
UGGGGAAUAUUGCACAAUGGGCGCAAGCCUGAUGCAGCCAUGCCGCGUGUAUGAAGAAGGCCUUCGGGUUGUAAAGUACUUUCAGCGAGGAGGAAGGUGUUGUGGUUAAUAAUCGCAGCAAUUGACGUUACUCGCAGAAGAAGCACCGGCUAACUCCGUGCCAGCAGCCGCGGUAAUACGGAGGGUGCAAGCGUUAAUCGGAAUUACUGGGCGUAAAGCGCACGCAGGCGGUCUGUCAACUCGGAUGUGAAAUCCCCGGGCUCAACCUGGGAACUGCAUCCGAAACUGGCAGGCUAGAGUCUUGUAGAGGGGGGUAGAAUUCCAGGUGUAGCGGUGAAAUGCGUAGAGAUCUGGAGGAAUACCGGUGGCGAAGGCGGCCCCCUGGACAAAGACUGACGCUCAGGUGCGAAAGCGUGGGGAGCAAACA